rnacentral:rRNA from 1 species
GCCAGCAGCCGCGGUAAUACGUAGGGUGCAAGCGUUGUCCGGAAUUAUUGGGCGUAAAGAGCUCGUAGGCGGUUUGUCGCGUCUGCUGUGAAAUUUCGAGGCUCAACCUCGAACUUGCAGUGGGUACGGGCAGGCUAGAGUGCAGUAGGGGAGAUGGGAAUUCCUGGUGUAGCGGUGGAAUGCGCAGAUAUCAGGAGGAACACCAAUGGCGAAGGCACAUCUCUGGGCUGUAACUGACGCUGAGGAGCGAAAGCGUGGGGAGCGAACAGGAUUAGAUACCCUGGUAGUCCACGCCGUAAACGGUGGGUGCUAGCUGUGGGCCACAUUCCACGUGGUCCGUGACGAAGUUAACACAUUAAGCACCCCGCCUGGGGAGUACGGCCGCAAGGCUAAAACUCAAAGGAAUUGACGGGGGCCCGCACAAGCGGCGGAGCAUGCGGAUUAAUUCGACGCAACGCGAAGAACCUUACCAAGGCUUGACAUAUACAGGAAAAGCGUAGAAAUACGCUCCCCGCAAGGUCUGUAUACAGGUGGUGCAUGGUUGUCGUCAGCUCGUGCCGUGAGAUGUUGGGUUAAGUCCCGCAACGAGCGCAACCCUCGUCCUAUGUUGCCAGCACGUAAUGGUGGGAACUCAUGGGAUACUGCCGGGGUCAACUCGGAGGAAGGUGGGGAUGACGUCAAAUCAUCAUGCCCCUUAUGUCUUGGGCUUCACGCAUGCUACAAUGGCCGGUACAGAGGGCUGCAAUACCGUAAGGUGGAGCGAAUCCCAAAAAGCCGGUCUCAGUUCGGAUUGAGGUCUGCAACUCGACCUCAUGAAGUCGGAGUCGCUAGUAAUC